UUUAUAGUAGUUUAAUAAAAACACAUCAUUUUCAAUGGUGAAAUGAUUUAAUAAAAUCUUAUAAUU
rnacentral:tRNA from 1 species